rnacentral:rRNA from 1 species
AGUGAACGCUGGCGGUAGGCCUAACACAUGCAAGUCGAACGGCAGCACAGUAAGAGCUUGCUCUUACGGGUGGCGAGUGGCGGACGGGUGAGGAAUACAUCGGAAUCUACUUUUUCGUGGGGGAUAACGUAGGGAAACUUACGCUAAUACCGCAUACGACCUACGGGUGAAAGCAGGGGAUCUUCGGACCUUGCGCGAUUGAAUGAGCCGAUGUCGGAUUAGCUAGUUGGCGGGGUAAAGGCCCACCAAGGCGACGAUCCGUAGCUGGUCUGCGAGGAUGAUCAGCCACACUGGAGCUGAGACAGGGUCCAGACUCCUACGGGAGGCAGCAGUGGGGAAUAUUGGACAAUGGGCGCAAGCCUGAUCCAGCCAUACCGCGUGGGUGAAGAAGGCCUUCGGGUUGUAAAGACCUUUUGUUGGGAAAGAAAAGCAGCAGGUUAAUACCCCGCUGUUCUGACGGUACCCAAAGAAUAAGCACCGGCUAACUUCGUG